rnacentral:rRNA from 1 species
ACGCUGGCGGCAGGCCUAACACAUGCAAGUCGAGCGGUAGAGAGAAGCUUGCUUCUCUUGAGAGCGGCGGACGGGUGAGUAAUGCCUAGGAAUCUGCCUGGUAGUGGGGGAUAACGUUCGGAAACGGACGCUAAUACCGCAUACGUCCUACGGGAGAAAGUAGGGGACCUUCGGGCCUUGCGCUAUCAGAUGAGCCUAGGUCGGAUUAGCUAGUUGGUGGGGUAAUGGCUCACCAAGGCGACGAUCCGUAACUGGUCUGAGAGGAUGAUCAGUCACACUGGAACUGAGACACGGUCCAGACUCCUACGGGAGGCAGCAGUGGGGAAUAUUGGACAAUGGGCGAAAGCCUGAUCCAGCCAUGCCGCGUGUGUGAAGAAGGUCUUCGGAUUGUAAAGCACUUUAAGUUGGGAGGAAGGGUUGUAGAUUAAUACUCUGCAAUUUUGACGUUACCGACAGAAUAAGCACCGGCUAACUCUGUGCCAGCAGCCGCGGUAAUACAGAGGGUGCAAGCGUUAAUCGGAAUUACUGGGCGUAAAGCGCGCGUAGGUGGUUAGUUAAGUUGGAUGUGAAAUCCCCGGGCUCAACCUGGGAACUGCAUUCAAAACUGACUGACUAGAGUAUGGUAGAGGGUGGUGGAAUUUCCUGUGUAGCGGUGAAAUGCGUAGAUAUAGGAAGGAACACCAGUGGCGAAGGCGACCACCUGGACUGAUACUGACACUGAGGUGCGAAAGCGUGGGGAGCAAAC